GACGAACGCUGGCGGCGUGCUUAACACGUGCAAGUCGAACGGAAAGGCCCUGCUUUUGUGGGGUGCUCGAGUGGCGAACGGGUGAGUAACACGUGAGUAACCUGCCCUUGACUUUGGGAUAACUUCAGGAAACUGGGGCUAAUACCGGAUAGGAGCUCCUGCUGCAUGGUGGGGGUUGGAAAGUUUCGGCGGUUGGGGAUGGACUCGCGGCUUAUCAGCUUGUUGGUGGGGUAGUGGCUUACCAAGGCUUUGACGGGUAGCCGGCCUGAGAGGGUGACCGGCCACAUUGGGACUAAGAUACGGCCCAGACUCCUACGGGAGGCAGCAGUGGGGAAUAUUGCACAAUGGGCGGAAGCCUGAUGCAGCAACGCCGCGUGCGGGAUGACGGCCUUCGGGUUGCAAACCGCUUUCGCCUGUGACGAAGCGUGAGUGACGGUAAUGGGUAAAGAAGCACCGGCUAACUACGUG
rnacentral:rRNA from 1 species